UUCUAGAAGGGCAAACAUUAAGCAUAAUUAUUGGGUUUAAAAGGUACGUAAACGGAAUAUUAUGAAAUUAAUAUAUUUUACUAAUAAUCUAGAAUAUUAUGGAGGAUUAUAGAAUGUUGAGAUAAAGGAUAAAAUCUUAAACCUCAAAAGAAUACCUAAAGCGAAGGCAAUAAUCCAAGUAUAUAUUGACGUUGAGGUACUAAAGUAUGGUUAUCGAAAUGG
rnacentral:rRNA from 1 species